ensembl:lncRNA
GGAUUAUGGAGUUGCAGCACUGAACACAUUGCUAUACAAAUUAACUUUUCCUCCCUGUGCUUUCUAGUAAAAGCCAGGCAGCCUCCCCCCGGGGAAGGAAGUCAGCAAGCUCCUUUGCAACACACUCUCUGGUUCACAGGGUUCCAGUUUGAUCAGCCUUCCAUAGGGGGCUUUGCAGCCUGACUGGAGCAUGUGUCACAAUGGAAAGCAGCAACAUCUGGUAACAGACAAUGAGAUAUCAGAGUUCCAGUUUGGAGGCAUCUUGCUAUUGAUUGGAGCAGGAGGAAGCUAGUGAGGAGAGACUUUGGAAUACAAUACAGAAAAUGAAACAUGAAAUGAAUGCGAUCCACCUUCCUGGCCCUUUCUCUCACUCUGUAAUUUGUGGCAUUUAAUGGAGGAAAUCAUUGUGAUUUUGUACAAUAAUAUGAAAAGGAAAGGGAAAAAAAAAAUAGAACC